GAUGAACGCUAGCGGCAGGCCUAAUACAUGCAAGUCGAACGGUGUAGCAAUACACAGUGGCGCACGGGUGCGUAACACGUAUGCAACCUACCUUACAUUGGGGGAUAGCCUUUCGAAAGGGAGAUUAAUACCGCAUAAGACAGUAACUAGGCAUCUAGUAGCUGUUAAAGAUUUAUCGAUGUAAGCUGGGCAUGCGUCCAAUUAGUUAGUUGGCGAGGUAAUGGCUCACCAAGACGAUGAUUGGUAGGGGAACUGAGAGGUCAAUCCCCCACACUGGCACUGAGAUACGGGCCAGACUCCUACGAGAGGCAGCAGUAGGGAAUAUUGGGCAAUGGGCGCAAGCCUGACCCAGCCAUGCCGCGUGCAGGAAGAAGGCGUUAUGCGUUGUAAACUGCUUUUAUACAGGAAGAAACGACCCUUGCGAGGGGCAUUAACGGUACUGUAUGAAUAAGCACCGGCUAACUCCGUGCCAGCCGCCGCAGUAAAAC
rnacentral:rRNA from 1 species